AUUGAACGCUGGCGGAAUGCUUUACACACGCAAGUCGAACGGCAGCACGGGGCAACCUGGUGGCGAGUGGCGAACGGUGAGUAAUACAUCGGAACGUGCCCAAUCGUGGGGAUAACGUAGCGAAAGUUACGCUAAUACCGCAUACGAUCUACGGAUGAAAGCGGGGGAUCGCAAGACCUCGCGCGAGUGGAGCGGCCGAUGUCAGAUUAGGUAGUUGGUGGGGUAAAGGCUCACCAAGCCAACGAUCUGUAGCUGGUCUGAGAGGACGACCAGCCACACUGGAACUGAGACACGGUCCAGACUCCUACGGGAGGCAGCAGUGGGGAACUUUUGGACAAUGGGCGCAAGCCUGAUCCAGCCAUUCCGCGUGCA
rnacentral:rRNA from 1 species